AUGGUGGGAGAAUCCAGCACUUGCUCAAGUUACAGCCUGCCUUGCCCUGACAUCAGUAUCAGCACCUACUCUGUGGAAAGCCGGCAGUCUGUUAUUGUUGUGGUCAGAAGGACAUGUGUUCCCUUUUGCCUCUGGACAGCCCUGCUGCCCACGGAGAGCUCUGCAGUCAGCAGCCUGCCUGACAGGGUCAUGACUUCCAGAGAAUGCUGCUACUGACAUCCAUCUACGCUUCUCUCAAGUGAAAGAGAUCUCAUUCCCAUCUAAAUAUGAAAAAUCUAGAAGGUACAGAGUAAUCUGCUGUCCUGAGCCUUGACAAUAGAGUCAAUGGGUCAUUUCAGCUGUUUCUACCUUUACUGUGAAUAGCAUUGCAAAACAAGUCUCCACCAGAAACUAAGGAACUGGAGGUUAAGCGUUGAUAGUUUGAUGCCAAGGAAGCAGCACUGAAUUGCUUGACUGUUGAAUGAUUUAUAGGGUAUGUAUGAGUUUUCAUGAGGAAAGUAGAAAGAGUAGUUUUUCUGGUAAUGUUGUAAGUAUAACACAUUUUGGGAGAGAAUAAAACAGAGCAAGGUCAAUACCCUCUCCCUUUC
rnacentral:lncRNA from 1 species